rfam:Absidia repens strain NRRL 1336 BCR42scaffold_9, whole genome shotgun sequence.
GGUUGCAUGGUCUAAUGGCUAUGACUCCAGACUUUGAAUCUGGCAGCCCGAGUUCGAUUCUCGGUGCGACCU